rnacentral:rRNA from 1 species
AACGAACGCUGGCGGCAGGCUUAACACAUGCAAGUCGAGCGGGCGCUUUCGGGCGUCAGCGGCGGACGGGUUAGUAACGCGUGGGAACGUGCCCUUUGCUCUGGAAUAGCCCUGGGAAACCGGGGGUAAUACCGGAUGUGCCCUGAGGGGGAAAGGUUUACCGGCAAGGGAUCGGCCCGCGUCUGAUUAGGUAGUUGGUGUGGUAACGGCGCACCAAGCCGACGAUCGGUAGCUGGUUUGAGAGGAUGAUCAGCAACACUGGGACUGAGACACGGCCCAGACUCCUACGGGAGGCAGCAGUGGGGAAUUUUAGACAAUGGGCGAAAGCCUGAUCUAGCCAUGCCGCGUGGGUGAUGAAGGCCUUAGGGUCGUAAAGCCCUUUCGCCGGGGAAGAUAAUGACGGUACCCGGUAAAGAAACCCCGGCUAACUCCGUGCCAGCCGCCGCCGUAA